UUCUGCUAGUGUACUAAAAAUCUUUGUAAUCACCCCAAGUUCUUAGAAUAGAACAGCAGAGCAGAACUGCAUUGCUUUCAUCUAUUUACUGAGCUGGGAGCUCUUCCUCAGUCUGCAGCCUACGGUUAACCUGAGGACACUGAAGGCAAAAAUGAAAAAAAUUCCAUUAAAUGUGCUCGUUUAAGAGGAUCCCAGUGCACAGCAAGUGUUCAAUGAAUGCAGCCUGCGGUGCCUUUGUUGAGGCAACUUUUUUGCUCACCCAGUGGUCUUCAAUUCUCAGCAAGCCACCAAGAGGACUUUUCUGUACUGCUUAUGAGUACACCAAUUCCUGGGUUCAGAAUGGUGGCCUUCUGGAUCACUGAGCUGACCUGUUGUCUGGGAAGGCUUCUG